AGUUUAUGUUUAUAUGUAGAUUGAUAUAUAUAUAUAUAUAUCAAUCUAAAAUAUAAUAGAACUCUCAAACAGUUUCUAAAACAUCCUUCAAAAUGAGUCUCUCCAAAAAAUUUAUAGUAAUCGCAUUUGUUUUCACUCUUUUCUUUGCGAUGCCAAUUGUUCGCUGCACCGAUAUUGUUUCAGAUUUCGGAAUAAAAAAAGUGUAUCAUAUAUGCUAUGGUCCAUGUGACGACAAAGGAGUGUGUGAGAAGUAUUGCCAAACCAAAAGCGGUCUGAUAAGGGGCGACUGUGUUGGUGGCACUUGUUGUUGUGAACACUAAAUAAAAUAUUAAAUAAUAUCGUUAGAUAUUAGAUCUUGUAUGAAAUGAAAUAAUAUUAUCAAUAAUACAUAAAAUGCUUUAAAAAAAUAUAAAAUAUUAUCAAAUUGAAGUUACUUUGAUUAACCUCGAGAAAAUAUUAGUCAAAGUUGCAAGUCUUUUCUAAAAAAAAAUUAAUAGAAAUAUAGUAAAUAUUAAUAAUGUAAUACAUCCUACGUGACUUAGAACUGUAAAAUAUGGAAGGGAAAACACGUGAAGAACAAUUAACGUUACAUAUAUAUCUCAUGCAAAAAUAAAUGAAGUGAAAAAGGAAACUAAUAAAAAAUGGUAAAUGUAGUUAAGUGAAAAAUAAAAAUAUUCAUUUUUUUCCUUUGUACAUAUAUAUUCAUUUAAAAAAAAGGAACUAAUAAGUGAAUGUAAAUGUAAUUAAGUGAAAAAUAAAAAUAUUCAUUUAAAAUAAAAUAUUAUACAAACAAUACUAUGACAGCAACAAACUCAAGUUAUUACGCUUAAACAAGUUACGCUUAAGCAAGAAAGUCAAUCAUCAUAUUAUAUGGCAUAAGCAAACAAAAUUGAACCGAACCAAAAUGGACAGAACUGAGCCAUUCUCCGGCUUAACCUUUGUCAAAAUUUCAGUAACCCCGAAGCAAACCUGAAAAAAUGAAAUGUCUACUAACCAUGUUUACUUAUAUCAUCAAAUGUUUUAGUGAAAACAUUGCAUUUGAUGAUUAUGUUAGUGAAGACCUGAAACAUUAGUUAUGUUGGUAUAAUAAGUAAACGAGGAUGUAUUUACGUUUACACAAACCAUUUUAAUCACGCAUUCAUACAACUAGUGCUACUAUGUUCACUUGCGCAUGGCGACAAAUAACAAUAGUAAUAUUGCUGUCGGUUGGAUUAGGUGUCUUUUGCAAUCCCCAGAGGCAGGAGCAGUACAAAGAUUAGGCCAUUAAACGUUAUGUACAAGCGAACCCUUAAUUAAACGUAGAACCGGUAAAAGUAAAACUCCAGGUGAAACGGUGAAAAAACUAAGGCAUUAUUUUAAGAGUUCAGAGAGACAUGAGAGCAAUCACGUCUUCAACGUUAACCUCUCUUUGACCCUUCCCAUGCCUUCUUUUAAAAGCUUCGUUAGCAAGAUUCUUCUUCUUCUGCUGAAGCUCAAGGACCCUCUCUUCAAUACUGUUCCUCGCAAUCAUCCUAAUCAUUUUAACCUCCUGUUUCUGCCCAAUCCUAUGAAUCCUGUCCAUGGCCUGUUCUUCAACCGCAGGGUUCCACCACGGCUCGAACAGGUAAACCCUCCUUGCUGCAGUCAAGUUUAUCCCAGCACCAGAGGCCUUGAGGCUUGCAAGCAACACCACGGGUCCGGAAUCUGCAUUAAACGAACAGGCUGGAAAGAUGCUACUUGAGAACUAUGAAGAGUACGCUAGGCAUGCUCGGCUUUACACGGGUAUCCAUGCUAAACCAAAACCUAAGUUCAAAUAAAAGAGAUGAAAUAUGGUUUUUGAGUUUUUUUUUCUGUCUAUUUUAAUAUUUCUUACUUCUUGUUCUUUCCUCAAUUAAAUCCAUUGCAAA